GACGAACGCUGGCGGCGUGCUUAACACAUGCAAGUCGAACGGUGAAGCGCCUUCCUUUUUGGUGGGUGUGGAUGAGUGGCGAACGGGUGAGUAACACGUGAGUAACCUGCCCCCUUCUUCUGGAUAACCGCAUGAAAGUGUGGCUAAUACGGGAUAUUCUGGGUCUGUCGCAUGAUGGGUCUGGGAAAGAUAUUGUUUCGGUGGGGGAUGGGCUCGCGGCCUAUCAGCUUGUUGGUGGGGUGAUGGCCUACCAAGGCGGUGACGGGUAGCCGGCCUGAGAGGGUGGACGGUCACACUGGGACUGAGACACGACCCAGACUCCUACGGGAGGCAGCAGUGGGGAAUAUGGCACAAUGGGCGCAAGCCUGAUGCAGCGACGCCGCGUGAGGGAUGGAGGCCUUCGGGUUGUGAACCUCUUUCGCCAGUGAAGCAGGCCUGCCUCGUUUGUGGGUGGGUUGACGGUAGCUGGAUAAGAAGCGCCGGCUAACUACGUG
rnacentral:rRNA from 1 species